rnacentral:rRNA from 1 species
CGGGGUGAGUAACGCGUGGGUAACCUGCCUUGUACUGGGGGACGAACAGUUGGAAACGACUGCUAAUACCGCAUAAGCGCACAGCUUCGCAUGAAGCAGUGUGAAAAAACUCCGGUGGUACAAGAUGGACCCGCGUCUGAUUAGCUGGUUGGUGAGGUAACGGCCCACCAAGGCAACGAUCAGUAGCCGGCCUGAGAGGGUGAACGGCCACAUUGGGACUGAGACACGGCCCAA